UGAGCAAUCUGCCCUUCUCUUCGGAAUAAGCGUUGGAAACGACGUCUAAUGCCGAAUACGACCUCCUUUCGCAUGAUGGGAGGUGGAAAGCUCCGGCGGAGAAGGAUGAGCUCGCGGCCUAUCAGCUAGUUGGUGUGGGUAAUGGCCCACCAAGGCGACGACGGGUAGCCGGCCUGAGAGGGUGACCGGCCACACUGGGACUGAGACACGGCCCAGACUCCUACGGGAGGNAGCG
rnacentral:rRNA from 1 species